rnacentral:lncRNA from 1 species
AACCUACCGAAGAAGUUACCGACGCCAUUUUGGCUCAAACAAACUCUGCAUUUCACUUACUAGUGUAUUUAAUUCGUCUUAAGGAAUCGCAUUUUAUACUUAAAGCAUUAAAGAGACCGCACAUGAAGUCACUGCGUGCGUCUGCUAAAAUAACUGCUGUAUCUUUUUCUGAAGUGUAAAGUAUUUUUAAUAAUACACCUGCUAAGUCCUCUGCUAGCAGACCGCUACGUGUCAUCGUUGUUGUGCCCAGAUGAUAAGUUAAACAUUUGGCGAAUGUAAAUAAAAAUGGGUGGAUGCUCCGCUCCAAACUGCUCGAACUCUACAACUAUUGGAAAGCAGCUCUUCCGCUUUCCGAAAGACCCCGUGCGCAUGAGAAAGUGGCUUGUAAACUGUCGGCGUGAUUUUGUACCGACUCCCUGCUCUAGACUGUGCCAGGACCACUUUGAAGAAAGCCAGUUUGAGGAGAUCGCCAGAUCACCAGCAGGGGGAAGGAAGCUCAAACCCAACGCAAUCCCCACACUAUUCAAUGUACCCGACCCUCCCUCUCCUGUCACCCCUCAAGCAGUGGUACCUGUUAAAAAUGAGCCAGUGGAAAAGGACUUGAACAUGGGGGACCAUGGUUACGCCCGCCGACAGCCCCCUGUGGAUUCAGAGGAGGAUGGGGUUCAGAGGGCAGACGAGGAGCGACCUUGCUCUCUCUGCCAGCAUUAUAAAACCAGACUGGAGCAGCAACAGCAGCACACAGUCACACUACAGAGAGAGGCAGAGGAGAUGAAGAAACGCCUUUACAAACUGAGUAAAAUAGAGAAGGGGCUACAGGUGUUUCUGUUUGAGGAUCAGAUACGUGCCCUAACGUUAGCCAAGCGUUCUCGGAGGGCAGUGUGGUCCCAUGGUACUUUACUGACAGCCCGUAAAAUCCGCUGCGCAGUGGGGGUUAAAGGAUACGAGUACCUAAGAGAACUGGGCUACCCUUUGCCUUCUUACAGGACGCUGUGUAAUCGCCUGGAGCCCAAAAUGAUGGUGACCACAAGUAUGCAGGAUGAACUAGCAGAGCUCGGCCUGGGCAUCAUAACAGCUUGUGACAGUCCAGAGGGCAACGUGACGAGCGAUGAAGGACUGAUUGGAGUCAUGACCUGAGACACUGUGUUUGUAAGAAUCUGCACUAAUGCUUGACUGUUAAACCAGCCGAAGGCGAAGCUACGGCAGGACUCACAGAGGAUGUUUGUUUACUGGAUUAAGUUAUUUUGGGUUUUUGCAUUUUAAAACCAUUUGCAUUAAUACCACAACCGUCUAGAGUUGAUUCACUGUUAUCCGUUUUCUUUUCUUCAAGAAAGAAAUGUUUUGGUCUUGCUGCAUCUGGCUGUGUAGUCGAUAUCUCUUGAUGCAAAUAUUGCACCUGUUACCCGAUUUGAGAAAAUUGAGGUAAACUGUUGGUGGAAUAAUUUCAGUUGUUCGCAGAAUCAUAAACUACUAAGAAUGUGCCCUGAAAACCAAAUAUUAUCACUCUAAACUUAAUUUUUGCUACUGAGACCGAGAAGGUUUCGCUUGUUUCUAUGAGAGGAAGUUGACAAAAGAGACUUGAUAAAUGGUCAAAUUGACAUGACGGUGUGGCUAUGUGUAAAGUCACUAUUUUAAAGUGGUAUAUUGGUAGUGGUGCUGUUUUAAAGUGGUGUAAAUCUGGUGUAUGAGUUUAGCAGCCAAAAAAAAUAGCACAUAUUUAUAGAGCCACCACACAAAUGAUUCAUGCUGUUGCCAAACUGAGGGGGCUGUUCUGAAUAAUAAACUUCUGUCUGCAAACCAGAGUUUCUGGUUUCAUUUUUUUUUUUCCUGUGUUCAUGUUUG